rnacentral:lncRNA from 10 species
AUUCUCCUUAGAAGGAAUCUUUUAGGUAACUCCCAUAGACAUCAGUAAAACCUCAUCUAAACCCUAAACAGAAAACGCAAUAGAAAAUACAAUUUCAUAUGUAAAGGUGAUAUGUCACUGCUAUCAAUCAGUAACUUCUCCAUAGUUCUUAUACCUGCAUGAUAUCUAUCACUGAAAUUUACUGUUUGUGCUUCCAUCAGGAUUUGGUUAGAUAAGUCUCAUAUUUCAAUAUGCCCUGAAAUAAAAAUGUUAUCAGCUUUGAUUUUUGUUAUUAGAACAUUAUAAGCUAGCUGUGUGUUGCAAUAACCAGCUACAUAUUCCAGAAGUCCAUUUGACCCUUCUGUUACUGGGACUGAUAUUCUUUUUUGUUUGUUUGUUUGUUUUGUUUGUUUUGUUUUUGAGACAGAGUUUUACUCUUGUUGCCCAGGCUGGAGCGCAAUGGUGCGAUCUCGGCUCACCGCAAUCUCUGCCUCCUGAGUUCAAGCGAGGAGCAACCCUACCUGAUGGACUGGACUUCUGCCUGGAUUGGAGUUUGAUCAUGCCUCCAUAUGGGUGUUUACCAGGCGUAUGCAUUGAACCUGAGUUUGUCUCUUCAAUACAAGGAAAAUGUCCUUGGAGUUUCAACAUUUCUUUGGUCUUCCACAUUUCAUUUUGUCCUGAUUAAAGAGGAAGCCAGUUGCUGUUUGUGCAAGAUGCCGUGCUGGAACCUGCCCUGUGGAGAGGCAUACAUGGUGAAAAACCAGGGAAGGCCUCUGAGCAACAGCUCUUGAGAAACUAAAGCCCUAAACCCAUCAACUUGCAAAGAACUGCAUCCUGCCACCAACUGCGUGAGUGAGGUCAGGUGGAUCUUUCCCUGGUCCAGCCUUGAGAUGACUGCAGUCCCAGACAACACCUUGACUGCUGCCUUGUGAUGCAGCUGGCGCCAAGCAGUGCCAAUUCCUGGCCCUCAAAAACCAUGAGAUAAUAGUGCUGUUGUUGUAAGUCACCCAAGUUUGGGGUAAUUUGUUAUCUAGCAGUAGAUAGCCAAUACAUCAAACUAGAAACAUUCUCCAUCAUUGAUUGGAAGACUUUGGGUUUUUAAAAAGGGUAAACACACAUAUACACAGCUUAUUAUAUUUCCUUCCACAUUUAUUUUGGAGGGGAAAUGUUUUACUUCUUAUCCCACCGCUUUGCCCUUUCUAAAAGAAUGUGUUAGGAUUACUGUGAUUCAAAUGGUAAAAAUUUUCCCAGUGAAAUAAAGACUUUAUACCAACUGGAUUUCUUGCUUAGAAAGCUGUGUUUUCUCCACUAAUAUCUUGAAUUUGAUAUUUUCAACUAUCUCUAUUGAAUUCACUUGUAAAUGAAUUGCGUUUUUCCCUCUAUUAUGAACUGAAUGUUUGUAUCUCUUCAAAAUUCAUAUGUUGAGGCUGUAAUUCCCAG